GGUGAUAGAAUGAUGAUAUAGGGUAUUUUGUGCUGGUCCUUAAGGUCUCUGAAUAGGGUGUGUAACAUUGGUUGGGCUGAAAAUGGCAUAUGUGCUGUUCUAUGCGCCCUAAUGCAAGCCUGGUUAAAAGCCCUAGAAUGAAACGAGAGGUUUUCUUCCUUUUAUGGUAUGCUCAUGAAUAUUUAGAUGACCUGCGUGCUGAUUGGUUGGUUUACAAAGAGCGAAGUUCCGGAGCAAAGACGCAAACAUGGCCCACAGCACUCACUGAAACAGCCAAGGUGGAAAUACUAUGGAGACAUAGGUGUUGAACAGCAUAUUUGAGCCUGAAUCAGAGGAAGAAUCUGAAAUGGAGGAGCAACCAGUCGCCCAUAGAUUGGAAAUGACUACUUCAGAGUGGUUAUUAAAAGAAUGACCCAGGUUCCUGAGGAGCUGACCUGAAUGACCAUUAUGGCCUCAAUCCGUUGUGCCUCUAUAUUCUUUGCAAAAUGCAAUGAAUAUUUACAGAGCUGACCCUGGCCGAGGAAUGGAAAGGCAAUGAAGUGACUUGGCCUACAGGUCUUUUGUGAGCAGGAGCUGGGGUUUCCUUAGAAGAAGCGGCC